UACGUAGGGUGCGAGCGUUGUCCGGAAUUACUGGGCGUAAAGAGCUCGUAGGUGGUUUGUCACGUUGUCCGUGAAAACUCACAGCUUAACUGUGGGCGUGCGGGCGAUACGGGCAGACUGGAGUACUGUAGGGGAGACUGGAAUUCCUGGUGUAGCGGUGGAAUGCGCAGAUAUCAGGAGGAACACCGGUGGCGAAGGCGGGUCUCUGGGCAGUAACUGACGCUGAGGAGCGAAAGCAUGGGUAGCGAACAGG
rnacentral:rRNA from 1 species